rnacentral:sRNA from 1 species
AGCUAGAAAGUGAGCUUUGAGUUGGGUUAAAACCACUGUGCAUCGUUAGCAACAUUUUGAAUGCCAACAUGUUGAUCCUACCUGCCAACAAUGGGCACUCAAUCUUCAAUGCCAAUUGACUACAGAGCACCUCAUUCAGGGAACGUCAAAUACUCAUCAUCAGGGGAGCUGACGGAGUGUGAGAACAAAAUUAUAUAAAAUAAGCCAGGUUACGAGAUUUAGUCAUACCAACUGAAUUCAGUAGCCAAUUACAACUUGAGCCAUGCAGUUUGUUUCGUUGUGCAUUUUGCUGAGUUCGAUUUUGGGAGUUUCAGCGAUAAAUGAAUGGACAAGAGCUCCAUUUGUAAGGGACGAGAAGUGUUUGUUUCGUGUUAAUGCAGGCCCAUGUCAUGGCAAAUUUAGAGUGUUCGGCUACGACCCAUUUGCCCAAAAAUGCUCCCAUUUUAUUUACAGUGGCUGUGGUGGAAAUCCAAAUCGGUUCGCAUCGGAAUUAGAAUGUCGCCAGGCUUGCAACCCAAUUUCGAAGAGUGAUAAUAACGAUUAUGACGAAAUUGUUCAGGUAGACUUUGAAGAAGAUUAUCUAGACCAUGUGGAUUAUGUUGAGUAUGAUGGAGGAAACUCCAAAAAAUCGGAUAACGAUGAUUUGGAAAAUAUUGA